rnacentral:rRNA from 1 species
UGGGGAAUUUUGGACAAUGGGCGAAAGCCUGAUCCAGCAAUGCCGCGUGCAGGAUGAAGGCCUUCGGGUUGUAAACUGCUUUUGUACGGAACGAAAAAGCUCCUUCUAAUACAGGGGGCCCAUGGCACGGUGACCGUAAGAAUAAGCACCGGCUAACUACGUGCCAGCAGCCGCGGUAAUACGUAGGGUGCGAGCGUUAAUCGGAAUUACUGGGCGUAAAGCGUGCGCAGGCGGUUAUGUAAGACAGAUGUGAAAUCCCCGGCUCAAGCCUGGAACUGCAUUGUGACUGCAUGGCUAGAGUACGGUAGAGGGGGGAUGGAA